rnacentral:rRNA from 1 species
GAACGCUAGCUACAGGCUUAACACAUGCAAGUCGAGGGGCAGCAUGGUCUUAGCUUGCUAAGGCCGAUGGCGACCGGCGCACGGGUGAGUAACACGUAUCCAACCUUGCCGUCUACUCUUGGACAGCCUUCUGAAAGGAAGAUUUAAUACAAGAUGGCAUCAUGAGUCCACAUGUUCACAUGAUUAAAGGUAUUCCGGUAGACGAUGGGGAUGCGUUCCAUUAGAUAGUAGGCGGGGUAACGGCCCACCUAGUCUUCGAUGGAUAGGGGUUCUGAGAGGAAGGUCCCCCACAUUGGAACUGAGACACGGUCCAAACUCCUACGGGAGGCAGCAGUGAGGAAUAUUGGUCAAUGGGCGAGAGCCUGAACCAGCCAAGUAGCGUGAAGGAUGACUGCCCUAUGGGUUGUAAACUUCUUUUAUAAAGGAAUAAAGUCGGGUAUGGAUACCCGUUUGCAUGUACUUUAUGAAUAAGGAUCGGCUAACUCCGUG